UACGAAGGGGGCUAGCGUUGUUCGGAAUUACUGGGUUUAAAGGGUGCGUAGGUGGGUAGGAAAGUCAGUGGUGAAAUCUUCGGGCUUAACCCGGAAACUGCCAUUGAUACUAUUUAUCUUGAAUACUUUGGAGGUAAGCGGAAUAUGUCAUGUAGCGGUGAAAUGCUUAGAUAUGACAUAGAACACCAAUUGCGAAGGCAGCUUACUACACAGUUAUUGACACUGAGGCACGAAAGCGUGGGGGAUCAAACAGG
rnacentral:rRNA from 1 species